rnacentral:rRNA from 1 species
AGCGAACGCUGGCGGCAGGCCUAACACAUGCAAGUCGAACGAAGUCUUCGGACUUAGUGGCGGACGGGUGAGUAACACGUGGGAACGUACCUUUUGGUUCGGAACAACUCAGGGAAACUUGAGCUAAUACCGGAUGAGCCCUUAGGGGGAAAGAUUUAUCGCCGAAAGAGCGGCCCGCGUUAGAUUAGCUAGUUGGUGAGGUAAAGGCUCACCAAGGCUACGAUCUAUAGCUGUCUGAGAGGAUGAUCAGCCACACUGGGACUGAGACACGGCCCAGACUCCUACGGGAGGCAGCAGUGGGGAAUCUUGCGCAAUGGGCGAAAGCCUGACGCAGCCAUGCCGCGUGAAUGAUGAAGGUCUUAGGAUUGUAAAAUUCUUUUACCAGGGACGAUAAUGACGGUGCCUGGAGAAAAAGCCCCGGCUAACUUCGUGCCAGCCGCCGCCGUAAAAC